rnacentral:rRNA from 1 species
UUUGACCUCAAAUCAGGUAGGACUACCCGCUGAACUUAAGCAUAUCAAUAAGCGGAGGAAAAGAAACUAACAAGGAUUCCCCUAGUAACGGCGAGUGAAGAGGGAAAAGCUCAAAUUUGAAAUCUGGCAGUCUAUGGCUGUCCGAGUUGUAAUCUAGAGAAGUGUUUUCCGUGCUGGACCGUGUACAAGUCCUUUGGAACAAGGCGUCAUAGAGGGUGAGAAUCCCGUCUACGACACGGACUCCCAGUGCUUUGUGAUACACUCUCAACGAGUCGAGUUGUUUGGGAAUGCAGCUCAAAAUGGGUGGUAAAUUCCAUCUAAAGCUAAAUAUGGGCGAAAGACCGAUAGCGAACAAGUACCGUGAGGGAAAGAUGAAAAGCACUUUGGAAAGAGAGUUAAACAGUACGUGAAAUUGUUGAAAGGGAAACGCUUGAAGUCAGUCGCGUCUUCAGAAACUCAGCCUGGCUUCUGCCUGGUGUACUUUUCUGUUGGACGGGCCAGCAUCAGUUUUGGCUGCCAGAAAAAGGUGGGAGGAAGGUAGCACUACGUGAGUGGUGUGUUUAUAGCCUCUCAUCGUAUGUGGCAGCUGGGACUGAGGACUGCAGCACGCCUUCAAUGGCCGGGGUUCGCCCACGUAACGUGCUUAGGAUGCUGGCGUAAUGGCUUUAAACGACCCGUCUUGAAACACGGACCAAGGAGUCUAACAUGCCUGCGAGUAUUUGGGUGGUAAACCCACAUGCGGAAUGAAAGUGAACAGUUGGGACUUCUGUCAUGGAAGGCACCGACGCCCGGACCAGACCUAUUGUGACGGAUCCGAGGUAGAGCAUGUAUGUUGGGACCCGAAAGAUGGUGAACUAUGCCUGAGUAGGGUGAAGCCAGAGGAAACUCUGGUGGAGGCUCGUAGCGAUUCUGACGUGCAAAUCGAUCGUCGAACUUGGGUAUAGGGGCGAAAGACUAAUCGAAC